rnacentral:tRNA from 1 species
GCCGACGUGGCACAAUGGUACUGCACGAGUCUUGAGAACUCGCUUCCUUCGGGAUAUCCCGGUUCGAUUCCGGGCGUCGGCG